rnacentral:rRNA from 1 species
UACGUAGGGUGCAAGCGUUGUCCGGAAUUAUUGGGCGUAAAGAGCUUGUAGGCGGUUUGUCGCGUCUGCCUGUGAAAUUUCGGGGCUCAACCCCGAACUUGCAGUGGGUACGGGCAGACUAGAGUGUGGUAGGGGAGACUGGAAUUCCUGGUGUAGCGGUGAAAUGCGCAGAUAUCAGGAGGAACACCGAUGGCGAAGGCAGGUCUCUGGGCCAUAACUGACGCUGAGAAGCGAAAGCAUGGGGAGCGAACAGG